UACGGAGGGUGCAAGCGUUGUCCGGAUUUAUUGGGUUUAAAGGGUGCGUAGGCGGCUUUUUAAGUCAGCGGUGAAAUACUUCGGCUCAACCGAGGAACUGCCGUUGAUACUGGAAGGCUUGAGUACUGAUGAAGUGGGCGGAAUUGAAGGUGUAGCGGUGAAAUGCAUAGAUAUCUUCAAGAACACCGAUUGCGAAGGCAGCUCACUAAGGAGUAACUGACGCUGAGGCACGAAAGCGUGGGUAGCAAACAGG
rnacentral:rRNA from 2 species